AGGCUGCAGUGGGGAAUUUUGGACAAUGGGGGCAACCCUGAUCCAGCCAUUCCGCGUGAGUGAAGAAGGCCUUCGGGUUGUAAAGCUCUUUCAGCUGGAAAGAAACGGUGAGCUCUAACAUAGCUUGCUAAUGACGGUACCAGCAGAAGAAGCACCGGCUAACUACGUGCCAGCAGCCGCGGUAAUACGUAGGGUGCGAGCGUUAAUCGGAAUUACUGGGCGUAAAGCGUGCGCAGGCGGUUAUGUAAGACAGGUGUGAAAUCCCCGGGCUUAACCUGGGAACUGCGCUUGUGACUGCAUAACUCGAGUGUGGCAGAGGGGGGUGGAAUUCCACGUGUAGCAGUGAAAUGCGUAGAGAUGUGGAGGAACACCGAUGGCGAAGGCAGCCCCCUGGGAUAACACUGACGCUCAUGUACGAAAGCGUGGGUAGCAAACAGGAUUAGAUACCCCUGUAGUC
rnacentral:rRNA from 1 species